GGGUUGCCAAGUGAGUUGCAGGGGAGUAUUCCUUGGAUGGUGCUUUAUGAACCGAAUUUCGAGCUGCGCGUCGAUGAUACUCAGACGGAAAAUGUGUCGGAAGAUUGUAAAGACUAUUAUAUUAACCAAACAAAACAAUUUAAAAGGUUUGACUACGUCGUCUACAAUGAAACAUGUAGAAACAUCACCACCAUCGGAUAGUCACCAAGGUGUCAUCUGUUUAACAACAAAGAUAUUAGGUUGGUUAGCAUGAUUGAGGGGCUGUAGAAUAUAUUUUGUUAUUGUAGGAAAUGAAUCGUAUAGCUACCGUAAUAAAGAGAUAUAUUAAAGAAGUAGUUUGCAGUUGUC